rnacentral:misc_RNA from 1 species
UAAGAUAAAAGAGAUGAAUUAAAGUGCAAACCGAAUCGCCAAAAAUAGGACAAGGUUAGGAAGAUCAAAGUGUGAUAUAAGGUAUAUAAAGUGCCAUCCUGAGCAAAGUAAAUAGGAUGAACUAAAAGGCAAUAUUAGAAAACCUAAAACGAGGGUACAUGAGUGAGGAUAGCUGUAAAGAUAUGGAAUCCAAAAGUGUAGGACUUAGAGUAGGUCAUGGUUCGGGCAGUGUCAGAAGCCAAAACGUGGGGUUCAGAGUUGCAGGAUGU